CAUUGAAAUACUGGUUCCCGUACUUAUACCGAAGUUAAGCAACGUCGAGCCUCGACAGUACCUAGAUGGGUGACCGCUUGGGAAUAGCAAGAGC